ACAUGCAAGUCGAACGAAGGCUCUAGCUUGCUAGAUGUCCUUAGUGGCGGACGGGUGAGUAACGCGUGGGAACCAACCUUGGAGCGGGGAAUAACUAUUGGAAACGAUGGCUAAUACCGCAUACGCCCUCAGGGGGAAGGGCUUCGGCCGCUCCAAGACGGUCCCGCGUCUGAUUAGCUAGUUGGUGAGGUAAUGGCUCACCAAGGCAAUGACAGGUAGCGGGUUUGAGAGGAUGAUCCGCCACACUGGUACUGAGACACGGACCAGACUCC
rnacentral:rRNA from 1 species